rnacentral:rRNA from 1 species
UGGAGGCAGCAGUGAGGAAUCUUGCGCAAUGGGCGAAAGCCUGACGCAGCAACGCCGCGUGGAGGAUGAAGGCCCUUGGGUUGUAAACUCCUGUCGGUUGGGAAGAAAUCUUGCGGGGCUCAUACCUCCGCAAGUUGACUGUACCAGCAAAGGAAGCCCCGGCUAACUCUGUGCCAGCAGCCGCGGUAAUACAGAGGGGGCCAGCGUUAUUCGGAAUUAUUGGGCGUAAAGGGCGCGUAGGCGGCCUUGCGUGUCUUUCGUGAAAUCCCUCGGCUUAACUGAGGACGUGCGGAAGAAACUGCAGGGCUCGAGUCCGGGAGAGGGGGGUGGAAUUCCCAGUGUAGCGGUGAAAUGCGUAGAUAUUGGGAGGAACACCGGUGGCGAAGGCGGCCCCCUAGACCGGUACUGACGCUGAGGCGCGAAAGCGUGGGUAGCAAACGGGAUUAGAUACCCCAGUAGUCA